GCAGAACAGCUUCUAAAAACGGAAAACCAACAAAUAUCUUAAAAUUUGAUCAAUAAUGCAGACAAUUUAUAAAUGUCUUGUUUUUUUGUUGAUUUCGAAUCUGGAAGAUUUUUUACGUAAGAUUGUAGUACGAAAAUCCAACGGUAUCGGAUUUUGUGGUUUUAGGCCUAAACUAAUUAUAGUGAUAUGUAACCUUUCGGGAUAUCGGUAAAGUGCGAGCAGACAAGGUGUAAAUACGUUAAAAAUUAAAGCUAAAAGACUAAACAGUUAGAUCGGAAUAUCUUUAAAUUUUGUGAAUAAAUGUGUUUCUGGUGGAUAACAACGACAACUUACCAGAAUAUUGCUCAUAAUCACACGUAAAACGUCUUUCUGAGACUUUGUGUACACACCGGUCUUACUCACAAUAACGAAGUGACGUCACCAUCUAUGUAUAGAAUGCUUUCUGAGAGCGAAUGAAAAUGCGUCACAUAUUCUGACAAAUAAACAGUAGGGUGUCGUUAUUGAAAUACCGCGAGAAUACUGGAAGAAUAGACGAGUUAACGCGUGACGUCACACGCACCUGCAAAGUUUAGACUCCGCCCACUGGUUGGCAAAAAGAGUAGGAAUUCAUAUAAGCGCAUAUAGAGAAGGUUGACGUAAUCAUCGUUUUUAUUGAUAAUCAUGAACUGUAUCAAAUAUAAUUUUACUAUUUAUGUCUGAAUAAAACAUAAGCAUGCGUGGAAAUUCAUUUUUGAAACGAUUAUAUUGUUGUUAUUAUUUGUUUUUACUAAAAACGAGCUCUGGAGUGGAACACUAUCUACGAGCUCUGUGUGUGGUAACCACAAACAUCUCUACUAAACGCAUCUUCACGUCCAUUUUAGAUACAAAAUGUCAGAGAUGGAAAUUAUUUUAGAAUAAAUUAAAUUUAAUGAAAGAACACAAAUAUCGAUGAAAACAAACAACAAAUAGAUCGCUUUUUGUUCGCAACAUAUAGUAACUGAUUUUAACCUUAAUAUAUCUGUACAAACUUACCUUGUUACACAACAAAUAAAUUCAUAAAUCUAAUUGUUUUAUUUAAUUGUGCACACCAAUUUUGACACUUUUGUUUCAGCAUUUCUAACCUGGUGUUUAAUUGCACCGUUGUUCGUCACAAGCAUAUUAUCUCGUUAUGAUCGGAGAAUGCCCAGACAAUUACACAGAAAACAUGCCAGUGUCAUAAACAUAGGGACCUAUACUUUAAUUGGGUCCCUGCAUAGACCACAUGUGGCAGACUUUAUGAUACCCCAAAUCAUCUCUUGGCAUAUUGAGCAGUCAUAUAUACCGGUAAUAUUGAGCAAGCCAAAAAUUAAAGCCAAAAUACGUAACAUUUGCUUUAAUGAAUAAUUAAACAUAUUAAAAAAAGAAGAUAUUUGUCCGAAACGGAUUAACAGGAACAUGUGUAUUUAUAUGUUAGCCAGUUUAAUCAUAAUAAUAGAGUGCUUUAUAACUUUAAAUUAAAAUUUGUGCAAUAUUACUGCUAACAAUUGAUGUAUUUAACGCGGGUACCGGCAAAUGUAAACUCGGCAAUUUAGUGUGAAGAUUGUACGUUCUCGCAGUGCACGUAACUCCAUCAUGAAACCAAGCAAUCACAAUGGAUAAACAAUAUUUGCGUAAAAUAAAUCAAAUAAAUAUAUAUAUUUAUCAUAAAAUGCUAGAUUUAUUACAUUUAUCACUCCUUACUACUUGUUAAGAGAUUUCAAUAUACAUGUAUGCAAAGACAGUUCAAUUUGCACAAUAUGCAGGUUUUAUUUCCAUUUGUAUAAUAUUUUUUAAAUAUUGUAAUUCAAUGGAAACGAAACGAAAAUUCAUUAUAUGGAAAAGAAAAUUACCACAACAUUUAACGAUUGUUAUGUAUUCCGUUUUUUAUGGCUUUGUUUUAUAAUUGAUUUAAUGCGCCUCUUAUAAUACACUUUCGAUCGCAGAUGAACAUUAACAAUAUCAACACCGUUAUAGUUAUAAUAAAAUAAAUGUAAGUUUUAUAAGUUUUGAAAUAUCAUUUUUUAAAGUCUUACUAUAAAAAAAGAAUACGGCUAAUUUAUUGUUUUGUUGUGUGGUAUUGUCAGUAUUUAGUCUUCCGACCAUGUUUACUCUGAGGCUAAUAACUAAUUUGUAUUUUUAUAAAGAGGAAAUUAUAUAUAUGAAUAUACAUUUAUUGGUUCUAAAUAUGAUAUAUUUGCACUAUUGUUUAAGAGUUGUAAUGUUUAUUUCGGAUUUUUUAUCGUUUAAUUGACUUAACAAAAGCCCUUUAUACAUGUUUUACGUGACUGUAACCAGUGUUUUUGCCAACCAGUCAGUGCGCAUGCGCGGAAAAUACCGAAUGUAAACAAUAACAAUUAACUCGUCUAUAGAGAUGCCAACUAUAAUGUUUAAAACAAAUACUUUUUUAACAAGCGUUUGUGAUUUGUCAGGAUAAUAAUAACAAUAAGAUAUCGAAAAGAUCAAAGCAAAUAAAUUCGACAGAAAUCUAAGAUUCGGCAAUAUAUUUAAGACGGGUUAUGUUCACUUAAAUUGUGUUUGGUAAAGACUGUAACUAUAUGUAGUGAACCAGUCUUCGGCUUAUACUCACUGAAGAAGAGCAUUCAGGGGAGAUAAUUGAGUAAUGACUUAAUUCUGGAACGGUUGCGAAGAAAAACAAAUAAUGCGAGAAUAUUUAGUGCGAUUCGCUACACAAUUAUGAUGUCAUUGAUAUAACUUUUCCUGAGGUAUGUAUUUACAUGUGAUUUAGCAUAUGUCAAAGUGUUUUUGAUUUGUUCAAGGCCAUAAAUAGCAUCGCGAAAAUAUAUGUCGCGUGGCAAAUUUUUUUGAGACGUGGUAUUCUUAUGUAAUUUUAUGUCUAAAUUCCCAUAUGUAUGAACGGUCAACGCCCGCUUCGCGGGCUUUUGCCCGUAUAAGAGUGAAGCGAAUUGUCGUCAAUUGAAUUGGAACUAAAAACUGUUGCGAAAAUUCAGAUUGUUGAGCAAGGCGUUCAUGCCAGAAGGUUUACAUCCAAUAUUGCCCAGGGGGACAGUAAUUAGAACAAUUUCUUUAAGUUUGUGUGGACACAGAGGCUUGAAUGUAGAAAUCAAAGAGUGGACAUGCGUAUAAAAUAUCGCCAACAGACCAUGGACGGAUAAAGAGAAAAAUCUACUAUUGUGAUUGAAAGUCGAAAAUAAACAGCAAAUAAACUUCAAAUAGAAAUUUAAACAUACAAGAAGUAGGACCUUGACCAUGCCUCAACAACAUCAGGAUCAAGAAGUCAAACAUGCAUUAUUAAUUCACAUGCUUGUAGCUAAUAGCACACGAGCAUUAGCAAGUGAAGGAGAGAAACAAUAACUAAUGACCAUAAAAUUCUAUAUUGAUACUUAUCAAAAUUGGAUCCAUUCUGAACAACUUCAAGAGUCUAGCCAGCUCUAUUGAUACUUAAAAAUUGGAUCCAUUCUGGAAAUUGUAAAAGUCUAGCCAGCUCUAUUGAUACUAACCAAAAUUGGAUCCAUUCUGGAGACUUUCAAGUGUGUAGCCAGCUCUAUUGAUAUUGACCAAAACUCGAUCCAUUCUGGACAUUUGCAAGAGUGUAUCCAGUGACUCCAGUCCUGUUGAAAUUGGCCGAGUUUUGAUCCAUUCUGGACAUUUUCAAGAGUGAAGCCAGUUCUAUUGUUUCUUACUAAAAUUGGAUCAAUUGUGGACACUUUCAAGACUCAGCUAGCUCUAUUGAUACUUACCAAAAUUUGAUCCAUUCGGGACAAUUUUAAGAGUCAAACCAACUGUAUUGGUACUCACCAAAAUUGGAUCCAUUCUUGACAACUUCAAGACUCUAACUAGCUCUCUUGAUACUUUCCAAAAUUUGAUCUAUUCUAUACAAAUUCAAGAGUCUAGCCAGCUCUAUUGAUACUUACCAAAAUUGGAUCCAUUCUGGACAAUUUCAAGAGUCUAGCAAGCUCUAUUGAUACUUACCGAAAAUGGAUCCAAUCUAGACAAUUUCAAGAGUCAAGCCAGCUCUCUUGAUACUUACCAAAUUGGAUCCAUUCUGGACAAUUUCAAGAAUCUAGCCAGCUCUGUUGAUAAUUUCCAAAAUUGGAUCCAUUCUUAACAAUUUCAAGAGUCUAGCCAGCUCUAUUGAUACUUACCAAAAUUGGAUCCAUUUUGGACAAUUUCAAGAGUAUAGCCAGCUCUAUUGAUACUGACCAAAAUUGGAUCCAUUCUGGACAAUUUCAAGAGUAUAGCCAGAUCUAUUGAUACUUGCAAAAAUUGGAUCCAUUCUGGACAAUUUCAAGAGUCUAGCCAGCUCUAUUGAUACUUUCCAAAAUUGGAUCCAUUCUGUACAAUUUCAAGAGUCUAGCCAGCUCUAUUGAUAUUGACUGAAACUGGAUCAAUUCUGGAAAUUUGCAAGAGUGUAUCCAGUCCUGUUGAAAUUGACCGAAUUUGGAUCCAUUCUGGACAUUUUCACGAGUGUACCCAGCACUAUUGUUACUUGCCAAAAUUGGAUCCAUUAUAUACAAUUUAAAGAGUCUAGCGUGCACUAUUGAUACUUAACAAAAUUGGAUCCAAUCUGGACAUUUUCAAGCGUUUAGUCAGCCUUGUUGAUACUGACCGAAUUCGGAUUCAUUCUGUAAAUUGUCAAAAUAUUUUUGAUUGAUCAUAUAAUGUCCCUGGGAUGAAAAUAAGCCACACCUUUUUGCUUUUUAUUAAAGGGGCCUUUUCAAGUUUUGGUAAAUUGUCAAAAUUGUUUCAGAUUUUUAUGUCCCCCACCACUAUAGUGGUUUAUAAAAUUAUAAAUCGUUGCAAUGCAAAACGAUUGAAUAAUAUGGAAAGUUC